rnacentral:piRNA from 1 species
UCCUAUCGAGGAUGCUUUAACCUCAGGC